CCUACGGGUGGCAGCAGUGAGGAAUAUUGGUCAAUGGGCGGGAGCCUGAACCAGCCAAGUCGCGUGAAGGAUGAAGGCGCUAGGCGUUGUAAACCUCUUUUGUCGGGGAACAAAGAGCGCCACGCGUGGCGUUGUGAGUGUACCCGAAGAAAAAGCAUCGGCUACCUCCGUGCCAGCAGCCGCGGUAAUACGGAGGAUGCGAGCGUUAUCCGGAUUUAUUGGGUUUAAAGGGUGCGUAGGCGGUCCAGGAAGUAAGCGGUAAAAGCCCGAGGCUCAACCCCUGCGCGCCGUUGAAACUGUGUGACUAGAGUAGGCGAGAAGUACGCGGAAUGCGUGGUGUAGCGGUGAAAUGCAUAGAUAUCGCGCAGAACUCCGAUUGCGAAGGCAGCGUACCGGCGCCGGACUGACGCUGAGGCACGAAAGCGUGGGUAUCGAACAGGAUUAGAUACCCCAGUAGUC
rnacentral:rRNA from 1 species